rnacentral:rRNA from 1 species
UCUCCUGGAAAAGGGUGGUAAUGCCGGAUGCUCCAUCACACCGCAUGGUGUUUUGGGAAAGCCUUUGCGGCAUGGGAUGGGGUCGCGUCCUAUCAGCUUGAUGGCGGGGUAACGGCCCACCAUGGCUUCGACGGGUAGCCGGCCUGAGAGGGCGACCGGCCACAUUGGGACUGAGAUACGGCCCAGACUCCUACGGGAGGCAGCAGUGGGGAAUAUUGCACAAUGGGCGCAAGCCUGAUGCAGCGACGCCGCGUGAGGGAUGGAGGCCUUCGGGUUGUAAACCUCUUUUGUUAGGGAGCAAGGCAUUUUGUGUUGAGUGUACCUUUCGAAUAAGCACCGGCUAACUACGUGCCAGCAGCCGCGGUAAUACGUAGGGUGCAAGCGUUAUCCGGAAUUAUUGGGCGUAAAGGGCUCGUAGGCGGUUCGUCGCGUCCGGUGUGAAAGUCCAUCGCUUAACGGUGGAUCCGCGCCGGGUACGGGCGGGCUUGAGUGCGGUAGGGGAGACUGGAAUUCCCGGUGUAACGGUGGAAUGUGUAGAUAUCGGGAAGAACACCA